GAACUAUCGGAAUCAUCCCAGUUCAAGGCUGGGGAUGCAACUGUUGUCUGUGACCCUCUUAGGGUGCAUGAUAUACUGCAGGAUGAGCUAUUUAGUGAGUCUACUGCCGAAUUUGUGGAUUCAAGUGGUGCAUCUGGACAUGAGGGUACUGCACAUCAGAAAGAUGAACAUGUUUCAACUUGUCCCAAAGAGACAAACUCCAAGGUGCAUUAUUUGACUACAUUAAAUUUUAAGUAAAUAUUAGCCUACAAUUAGGACCUGCAUUUUUCUAAUUUGUAACUAGAAUAUUAUACUAUGAUAGUGUCUUAGGAAAAAUUAAAUGGCUUAAAUUUAGAUACGGGACUGAUGACUAGAUAUGUAAAGGAGGCAUAUAUGCUCAAGCUAUUCAGGUUCAGCCCGAAAAAUGUUGAUUUCAGUUGUCAUUGUCAAAUCAAGCUGAAGCUUUAUAAGCUUGAUUUGAGUUGAUUAGCUUGUGUGCCUAAAUAAGGUUAUUUUAAUACUUAGUUUAAAUUUAAGCAUGAGAACCAAGCUCAUUGCUUUUCCUGGUAAAUGAGCUUAAUUGGGCAAACUCAAGUAGUUCGCUUUUAAUCUCAAAGCAAGCUCGAGCUUUAGAAGUAAAACUCUAUUCAACUCCAAAUGAGCUUCAAGCCUUGAAUUUGGGUUCAAGCUCAAGCUUCUUAACAGGAUUCAGAACAAUAAGUUGUUCAUUUUCUGUGUAUGAAGUGUACCUGAUCUCCAUUCUUUUACCAGAUACAAUAUGAAGAGGGAGACUUGCUAUGUCAAGAAAAAGCACUAAAGGACGAAUUAAGAGCAAACACUUUGCAAAUGCAGCAUCUUGAGGAAGAGUUUGAAUCUUGGAAGGCAG
rnacentral:lncRNA from 1 species